rnacentral:rRNA from 1 species
AUGAACGCUGGCGGCGUGCCUAAUACAUGCAAGUCGAGCGAACAGACGAGGAGCUUGCUCCUCUGACGUUAGCGGCGGACGGGUGAGUAACACGUGGAUAACCUACCUAUAAGACUGGGAUAACUUCGGGAAACCGGAGCUAAUACCGGAUAAUAUAUUGAACCGCAUGGUUCAAUAGUGAAAGACGGUUUUGCUGUCACUUAUAGAUGGAUCCGCGCCGCAUUAGCUAGUUGGUAAGGUAACGGCUUACCAAGGCAACGAUGCGUAGCCGACCUGAGAGGGUGAUCGGCCACACUGGAACUGAGACACGGUCCAGACUCCUAAGGGAGGCAGCAGUAGGGAAUCUUCCGCAAUGGGCGAAAGCCUGACGGAGCAACGCCGCGUGAGUGAUGAAGGUCUUCGGAUCGUAAAACUCUGUUAUUAGGGAAGAACAAAUGUGUAAGUAACUAUGCACGUCUUGACGGUACCUAAUCAGAAAGCCACGGCUAACUACGUG